GACAGAGGUGCCGAGCGUUAGGCGGAAUCACUGGGCUUAAAGCGUGUGUAGGCGGAUCUGUAAGUACCUUGUGAAAUCCCACGGCUCAACCGUGGAACUGCUUGGUAUACUGCGGGUCUUGAGCCACCUAGGGGCAAGUGGAACAACCGGUGGAGCGGUGAAAUGCGUAGAUAUCGUUUGGAACGCCAAUGGUGAAAACAACUUGCUGGGGUGUGCUGACGCUGAGACACGAAAGCCAGGGAGCAAACGGG
rnacentral:rRNA from 1 species